UACGUAGGCAGCGAGCGUUGUUCGGAGUUACUGGGCGUAAAGGGUGUGUAGGCGGUUGUUUAAGUUUGGUGUGAAAUCUCCCGGCUCAACUGGGAGGGUGCGCCGAAUACUGAGCGACUAGAGUGCGGGAGAGGAAAGUGGAAUUCCUGGUGUAGCGGUGAAAUGCGUAGAUAUCAGGAGGAACACCGGUGGUGUAGACGGCUUUCUGGACCGUAACUGACGCUGAGACACGAAAGCGUGGGUAGCAAAUAGG
rnacentral:rRNA from 1 species